rnacentral:lncRNA from 1 species
AAAUACCAACUCGAAGUUCCGGCUGCCGUCGAGGUCCGUUCGUGUUUCGAUUCGUAUAUAUUGUUCGUAGUUUGAUCGUCGUGUCGUCAUAACUGCUGCUUUGAUUCCUCUUCGUGUUACUACAGAAGUUUAUUAAUUGAAAUUCCAUUUCAGGUUCAUAUCGACAACCUCAGUCUCUAUUUUGAUUUAGUAGUCGAGCCUUUGGUUUGGGUGCUUGAUCUCGCUUGUUAAAUUACUGUCCUUACUGUGCUUGAGAUCACUGUCCUCUGCACUCUUUUAGUUUUUAUUUAAUUGCUGAUUUUCUAAAACAAACCAUGGAAUCGACGGUGUUCGAUUGGGUUCGUUCCAAUGCCGAUUGAGGUCCGUUUCUGAGUUCGUGAGCGUAGUUCUUGUUGAAUCUCGAUUUUCAGCACUUGUUCUUCAUUCCAAGCUCGUCGCCAAGUUCCUUUAAUUCCGUUAAAUGAAGUUCUCUUUUUCUAAUGUCAGAUCCGUCUUCUUUCUAUACUUUUACCUGCUUUGAUAUUUGAAGUCAGCUUUGUCCUGUUGUAUGUAUUCUUUUGUUUAACAAUUAUAUAAUUUUGGCUUAAGUUUAACAAUUAUGUAUUGAUAAGUAGAGAAAUGAGAAAUAGAAAGAGUAUUUCUCAAUUGAAUAAGACUUGUACCAUCGUAAAAGUUUCUGUUAAUCUUAUAUGGAUACAUUGUGUGCAAAUAUAGAGUUUGGGUGUUUGUGAGCCUUACAAAAUUACUGUCCAAUGGUAAUUUUCCAGUUAAUUAAUUUCAAUUAGAUAGCUUGGCUACUAUUUCAUUGAGUGCAUUUUGGAUUGGAUAAGUUCGGUAAGUCCAUUUCCAACGAGGGAUCAUCAUUUCUGUCUACAUAUUGUAAUCAUUACGGGUUCCGUAGCAUAGUUAUGAUACGUAAUUA